CUGCUGAGCCUGCAACUCGAGUGUUCUGUUUGAGGAGCUCUGUGCUUUAUCAUAGAAAUGGAUCUGAGGUGGGGUGUUGCUUUGUCUUGUGAUCGGCAGCUCACGGCAGCCUCGGAUUCGUGGGCAUGAGCAAUCCUCCCACUUCAGCCUCCCAAGUAGCUGGGACCACAGAAGUGGUGUAUUACGCCUCAGCAUGGAGGAGGACAUGAAGGCGUAUGGAGUCUGGGAGUAGUACACCACGUAGAAUGCCACAUUAAUCUGGCAUGACAGGGAAUGCUGUGCCCCACAGGACCCACAUUUGAGCCAGCUGCUCCUCUGCCCUCUCCUAGCUCCUUACACACCCCACUCCCCACCUCAUUCUGCUCUCUACUCAGAGUAGUCCCCACCCUGAUCACCCUACCCCAAACGCCCUGCGUUAGUUCCCAGUUCCCAUGGGAGGACUCAUCACUACCUGACGUCACAUUAUGUAUGUAUGUAUG
rnacentral:antisense_RNA from 1 species